rnacentral:rRNA from 1 species
GACGAACGCUGGCGGCGUGCUUAACACAUGCAAGUCGAGCGGUAAGGCCCUUUCGGGGGUACACGAGCGGCGAACGGGUGAGUAACACGUGGGUGACCUGCCCUCAGCUCUGGGAUAAGCCUGGGAAACUGGGUCUAAUACUGGAUAUGACUCCACGGUGCAUGUCGUGGGGUGGAAAGCCUUGUGCGGCUGAGGAUGGGCCCGCGGCCUAUCAGCUUGUUGGUGGGGUGAUGGCCUACCAAGGCGACGACGGGUAGCCGGCCUGAGAGGGCGACCGGCCACACUGGGACUGAGACACGGCCCAGACUCCUACGGGAGGCAGCAGUGGGGAAUCUUGCGCAAUGGGCGAAAGCCUGACGCAGCGACGCCGCGUGAGGGAUGACGGCCUGG